CAGUCGCCGCGGGAAUACGAAGGGGGCUAGCGUUGUUCGGAUUUACUGGGCGUAAAGCGCACGUAGGCGGAUCGAUCAGUCAGGGGUGAAAUCCCAGAGCUCAACUCUGGAACUGCCUUUGAUACUGUCGAUCUGGAGUAUGGAAGAGGUAAGUGGAAUUCCGAGUGUAGAGGUGAAAUUCGUAGAUAUUCGGAGGAACACCAGUGGCGAAGGCGGCUCACUGGUCCAUUACUGACGCUGAGGUGCGAAAGCGUGGGGAGCAAACAGGAUUAGAUACCCCCGUAGUCCCUGUCUCUUAUAC
rnacentral:rRNA from 1 species